AUUGAACGCUGGCGGCAUGCCUUACACAUGCAAGUCGAACGGUAACGGGCCUUCGGGUGCCGACGAGUGGCGAACGGGGGAGUAAUACAUCGGAACGUGCCCGAUCGUGGGGGAUAACGAGGCGAAAGCUUUGCUAAUACCGCAUACGAUCUACGGAUGAAAGCAGGGGACCGCAAGGCCUUGCGCGGACGGAGCGGCCGAUGGCAGAUUAGGUAGUUGGUGGGAUAAAAGCUUACCGAGCCGACGAUCUGUAGCUGGUCUGAGAGGAUGAUCAGCCACACUGGGAGUGAGACACGGCCCAGACUCCUACGGGAGGCAGCAGUGGGGAAUUUUGGACAAUGGGCGCAAGCCUGAUCCAGCCAUGCCGCGUGCAGGAUGAAGGCCUUCGGGUUGUAAACUGCUUUUGUACGGAACGAAAAGCCUUCUUUUAAUACAGGAGGGUCAUGACGGUACCGCAAGAAUAAGCACCGGCUAACUACGUG
rnacentral:rRNA from 1 species